rnacentral:rRNA from 1 species
AUUGAACGCUGGCGGCAGGCCUAACACAUGCAAGUUGAACGAGUUGCGGACGUUUGAGUCAUGUCUGGGAAACUGCCCGAUGGAGGGUGAUAACUACUGGAAACUGUAGCUAAUACCCCAUACCAUCGGAUUUGCCCCGAUGGGAUUAGCCAGGAGGUGGGGUAAUGGGUCACAUAGGCGACGAUCCCUAGCUGGUCUGACGGGAUGACCAGCCAGACUGGAACUGGGACACGGUCCAGACGCCUACGGGAGGCGGCAGUGGGGAAUAUUGCACAAUGGGCGCAAGCAUGAUGCAGCCAUGCCGCGAGUAUGAAGAAGGCCUUCGGGUUGAAAAGUAAUUUCAGCGAGGAGGCGUUACUCGCAGAAGAAGCAACGGCUAACUCCGUGCCAGCAGCCGCGGUAAUAC